UACGGAGGGUGCAAGCGUUAUUCGGAAUUACUGGGCGUAAAGCGCGUGUAGGCGGGGACGCAAGUCUGAUGUGAAAGCCCUGGGCUUAACCUGGGAAGUGCAUUGGAAACUGCGUUUCUUGAGUACUGGAGAGGAAGGGGGAAUUCCCGGUGUAGAGGUGAAAUUCGUAGAGAUCGGGAGGAAUACCAGUGGCGUAGGCGCCCUUCUGGACGGUUACUGACGCUGAGACGCGAAAGCGUGGGGAGCAAACAGGAUUAGAUACCCUGGUAGUCCACGCUGUAAACGAUGAUCACUAGGUGUAGCGGGUACUCAUUCCUGCUGUGCCGUAGCUAACGCGUUAAGUGAUCCGCCUGGGGAUUACGGUCGCAAGACUA
rnacentral:rRNA from 1 species